rnacentral:rRNA from 1 species
UGGUGGAGUGAUUUGUCUGGUUAAUUCCGUGAACGAACGAGACCUCAGCUUACUAAAUAGUUGCAAGAUAGGAUUACUGGUGAAGCGAGAGGUGAUGUAAGUCGGGCUCCGGUUUGGCUUGCCACCUUUUGUGGAUCCUUGUCCAUAUCUUGUAUGAUAGGUUGCCUCGGUGGCUUAUCAAUUUACUUCUUAGAGGGACUAUUCUAUAAUUUAUUUAUUUGUGUUUAACGAAUUGAAGUUUG